rnacentral:rRNA from 1 species
UGAAUACGAGACGCUAAGGCGUUGAAGUAGUGUAUGUCAUACUUCCAAGAAAAGCUUGCACUGUCAUAGAUAAAAAACGCCUGUACCAUAACCGACACAGGUGGGUAGGUAGAGUAUACUAAGGGGCGCGAGAUAACUCUCUCUAAGGAACUCGGCAAAAUAACUCCGUAACUUCGGGAGAAGGAGUGCCUUAUUUAUAAGGCUGCAAUAACAAGAUCCAAGCAACUGUUUAUCAAAAACACAGGUCUCCGCUAAGUCGUAAGACGAUGUAUGGGGGCUGACGCCUGCCCAGUGCCAGAAGGUUAAAGAAGUUGGUUAGCAAUAGCGAAGCUGAUAACUGAAGCCCUGGUGAACGGCGGCCGUAACUAUAACGGUCCUAAGGUAGCGAAAUUCCUUGUCGGGUAAGUUCCGACCCGCACGAAAGGCGUAAUGAUUUGGAUACUGUCUCGGAGAGGGGCUCGGUGAAAUAGACUUGUCUGUGAAGAUGCGGACUACCUGCACCAGGACAGAAAGACCCUAUGAAGCUUUACUGUAACUUGAAAUUGAAAUUGGACUUUAUUCGCGCAGUAUAGGUGGGAGGCGUUGAUUGUAAUCUUGCGGGAUUAUUGGAGCCAUCAGUGAGAUACCACCCUUGUAAUGUUAGAUUUCUAACUUUGAAUCAUUAUCUGGUCAAAGAACAGUUUCAGGCGGGCAGUUUGACUGGGGCGGUCGCCUCCUAAACGGUAACGGAGGCGUACAAAGGUUUCCUCUGAACGGUUAGAAAUCGUAUCUAGAGUGUAAAGGCAUAAGGAAGCUUGACUGUGAGACCUACAAGUCGAGCAGGGACGAAAGUCGGUCUUAGUGAUCUGACGGUACUGAGUGGAAAGGCCGUCACUCAACGGAUAAAAGUUACUCUAGAAUAACAGGCUGAUCUCCCCCAAGAGUUCACAUCGACGGGGAGGUUUGGCACCUUGAUGUCGGCUCAUCGCAUCCUGGGGCGGUAGUACGUCCCAAGGGUUGGGCUGUUCGCCCAUGAAAGCGGUACGCGAGCUGGGUUCAGAACGUCGUGAGACAGUUCGGUCCAUAUCCGGUGUAGGCGUUAGAAUAUUGAGAGGAGCCUUCUUUAGUACGAGAGGACCGAGAAGGACAUACCUCUGGUGUACCAGUUAUCGUGCCAACGGUAAACGCUGGGUAGCUAUGUAUGGAGUGGAUAACCGCUGAAAGCAUCUAAGUGGGAAGCCCACCUCAAGAUAAG